UGGGGAAUAUUGCACAAUGGAGGGAACUCUGAUGCAGCGACGCCGCGUGAACGAAGAAGGCUUUCGAGUCGUAAAGUUCUUUUAUAGGGGAAGAUAAUGACGGUACCAUAAGAAAAAGCCCCGGCUAACUACGUGCCAGCAGCCGCGGUAAUACGUAGGGGGCUAGCGUUGUCCGGAAUCACUGGGCGUAAAGGGUUCGCAGGCGGAAAUGCAAGUCAGGUGUAAAAGGCAGUAGCUUAACUAUUGUAAGCAUUUGAAACUGCAUAUCUUGAGAAGAGUAGAGGUAAGUGGAAUUUUUAGUGUAGCGGUGAAAUGCGUAGAUAUUAAAAAGAAUACCGGUGGCGAAGGCGACUUACUGGGCUCAUUCUGACGCUGAGGAACGAAAGCGUGGGUAGCAAACAGG
rnacentral:rRNA from 1 species